UACGGAGGGUGCAAGCGUUAUCCGGAUUCACUGGGUUUAAAGGGUGCGUAGGUGGGUCUGUAAGUCCGUGGUGAAAUCUCCGAGCUUAACUUGGAAACUGCCAUGGAUACUAUAGGUCUUGAAUACUGUGGAGGUAAGCGGAAUAUGUCAUGUAGCGGUGAAAUGCUUAGAUAUGACAUAGAACACCGAUAGCGAAGGCAGCUUGCUACACAGUUAUUGACACUGAGGCACGAAAGCGUGGGGAGCAAACAGG
rnacentral:rRNA from 1 species